rnacentral:misc_RNA from 1 species
GGGCAACAACUUCCACCUGGCUUACCUUUUCAGUCUUGUGCCAUUGCUUGUAUCGCAUUGAAUGCAUGGUGGGUUUCUUGUGUUGCAUGCCUAAUUGAUGGUAUCAUUUGAAGAACUGAUGUCCCUUUUCAUCUUGUGUCGCACAUGCGAUGUGAGAUGAACCUUGAAGUAGCCUUUGUGAUCCACUCUUUCGAUGUACACGCAUUGAUUUUGUGGCCCACUGUGUGUUGCUUGGUCUCAUGGAUAUGGAACCUGGUGUGGGCAUGGGAUCUUUACUAGUUCCUUGUUUGCCCUGGUUUAGCUUUUCUAAUACACGAUUGUUUAUCACAUUUUAAUGUGGUAGGCUAUAUCGGAUA